rnacentral:lncRNA from 1 species
GUGUACAUACAUAUGAGGCCAAAAGUCAACAUCCCUCCUCAGUCACUCAGUCACUAUUUUUAGAGCUAGGGUCUCUCAGUGAAACUGAAGCUCAUUGGUUUAGCUAGGCAGAUUAGCCAAUGAGCUUCAGGAAUCUGUUUGUCUCUACUUCCUGGUGAUAGCAUUCCAGGUUCAGGCAGUCACACCCAGCCUUUUUGUUGUAGUAAUCGUUGUCGUUUUUGUUUGUUUUUUGAAACAGGGUUUCUCUGUGUAGCCCUAGCUGUACUGGAAUAGCUUUGUAGACCAGGUUGGCCUUGAACUCAAGGUGUACAGCCAGCUUUUUUUCUGGGUGCUGGCGUGAGCAAGUCAGGUCCUUAUGUUUGAGUGGGAUGAGCCAUUUACUUACUGGCUUUACAUUUGCAGUUUAAACCAGACUUUUGUUCACAAGGGAAGAAAAUAUGGAGAACGCCAUGAUCAGAAAAAGUCCAAGAGAGGUUGAAUUUUCACUAGUUUUUAAGGUUGUGGAAAGUUUUAGCUUGGAUUCCAGGUUCCAUAGUCUUCUUCGAGUUAACUGCUGUGUGCCGUGGGCAUCUGGGGGACUCAUAAGAAAUGAGAUUUAGUUUCUUGAUGGUGGAGACCUCAAAGACAGUUCUGGACCUAGAGGCUACUGUGACCGGCAGACCUUGAUCCCCGAAAAAAAUGGAGGACAUACAAGGGCGGUGUUUUUUAGCAUAGCAUGGUCGUUGGAAUCAGUCAUUCUCCAACUUAAGCCCCAGCUUUCUCUCUUACCAGCUGCGUGACCUUAAGUAGGUUCAUUAGCUUCUCUGCGCUUCCGGGCCAUGUCCUC